GGUGAACGCUAGCGGCAGGCCUAAUACAUGCCAGUCGGACGGGAUUCAGGAGCUUGCUUCUGAUGAGAGUGGCGCACGGGUGCGUAACACGUAUGUAACCUACCUUUAUCAGGGGGAUAGCCUCUCGAAAGAGAGAUUAAGCCCGCAUAAAAUCACAGCACAGCAUUGUGUAAUGAUCAAAUAUUUAUAGGAUAAAGAUGGGCAUGCGGAACAUUAGCUAGAUGGCGGGGUAACGGCCCACCAUGGCGACGAUGUUUAGGGGAUCUGAGAGGAUGGCCCCCCACACUGGUACUGAGACACGGACCAGACUCCUACGGGAGGCAGCAGUAAGGAAUAUUGGUCAAUGGGCGGAAGCCUGAACCAGCCAUGCCGCGUGCAGGAAGACGGCCCUACGGGUUGUAAACUGCUUUUAUACGGGAAUAAACCCAGAUACGUGUAUCUGGCUGAAUGUACUGUAAGAAUAAGGAUCGGCUAACUCCGUG
rnacentral:rRNA from 1 species